rnacentral:snRNA from 1 species
AGAUCAAUUUCUUUCCCAUUUCACACCAUAUUUUGCUCCAUGUGUGUCCCUCCCAAAGCCCCGCGCUCGGUGUAAGAGGACUAGAACCCCCCUUGCGGACGACCAUCCAUCGGUGUACCAGUAGCUGCGCUCCCCUGCUAGACCCUCCAAACAAGCUCAAAACCCUGAACAUAAUAUUUACAGAUGUAAUUUUGAAAUAGAUGCUGAGCAGUCUUGACCAAUAUUAUUCCACAAACAUGAGGACAGUCAAUAAAAUCAAUUACACAUACAU